UUGAACGCUGGCGGCAGGCUUAACCCAUGCCAGUCGAGCGGUAGCACAGGGGAGCUUGCUCCCUGGGUGACGAGCGGCGGACGGGUGAGUAAUGUCUGGGAAACUGCCUGAUGGAGGGGGAUAACUACUGGAAACGGUAGCUAAUACCGCAUAACGUCGCAAGACCAAAGAGGGGGACCUUCGGGCCUCUUGCCAUCAGAUGUGCCCAGAUGGGAUUAGCUAGUAGGUGGGGUAAUGGCUCACCUAGGCGACGAUCCCUAGCUGGUCUGAGAGGAUGACCAGCCACACUGGAACUGAGACACGGUCCAGACUCCUACGGGAGGCAGCAGUGGGGAAUAUUGCACAAUGGGCGCAAGCCUGAUGCAGCCAUGCCGCGUGUGUGAAGAAGGCCUUCGGGUUGUAAAGCACUUUCAGCGAGGAGGAAGGUGGUGAGCUUAAUACGUUCAUCAAUUGACGUUACUCGCAGAAGAAGCACCGGCUAACUCCGUG
rnacentral:rRNA from 1 species